GACGAACGCUGGCGGCGUGCUUAACACAUGCAAGUCGAGCGGUAAGGCCCUUUCGGGGGUACGCGAGCGGCGAACGGGUGAGUAACACGUGGGUGACCUGCCCUCAGCUCUGGGAUAAGCCCGGGAAACUGGGUCUAAUACCGGAUAUGACUCCAUGACGCAUGUUGUGGGGUGGAAAGCCUUGUGCGGCUGAGGAUGGGCCCGCGGCCUAUCAGCUUGUUGGUGGGGUGAUGGCCUACCAAGGCGACGACGGGUAGCCGGCCUGAGAGGGCGACCGGCCACACUGGGACUGAGACACGGCCCAGACUCCUACGGGAGGCAGCAGUGGGGAAUCUUGCGCAAUGGGCGAAAGCCUGACGCAGCGACGCCGCGUGAGGGAUGACGGCCUGG
rnacentral:rRNA from 1 species